CUUGCAGGAGCAGAGAAGAGAGCCAGACACCGCCCUCCCUGGCUUCCGAAAGGUCACAGAGCUGUAUCCAAAUCAAGAACAGUUUGGACCAUCAAAUGGUGACUCAGAAACACCCUGGAAAAGUGGCCCUGCCAUGUGCAAGCAAGCUGGGAACUGUCGGAGACGUGACUGCAGAGCCCAGACCCCCACAGGCGAUGGGGAGGGAGCUCACCCCGGAGAGGAAGACUGUGAGUCGGAUCCCCAUGGACAUGACAGAGGAACUGCAUGGGGAGGCCGGUGAGAAUGUGAAUGGUCG